UCCAUUUUUAUAUUAAUAUAAUUAACAUCCAGUAACAAAGGAGGGAGGACACAAGAUUGAUUUCUCCUUCACUUUUUCACACAACAUAGGCACCAGAAGGUUUUGUUCUUCCUUUUAUUCUCCACUCAUCCUCAUGCAUACGACACUCCUCCACCCAUCUCUCACCCAUCUCACACCUAUCACUCAUUAUACACCCUCACAGAAGAUGAGAGAGAGGGGGACAAAUGCAAAUACAAGAGCUGGGGGGAACACACUAUUUCUUUUUCCUUUUUUUUUAUUUUGGGAUCUUUUUCUUCUUCGUGCACAGAAAGCACACGCAAAUAGGGGCUGAUGACCUUUAGCCCCUUUUUCUUUUAGGUAGAAGAUAAACACACUAAAAAGGGGACCCAUUUUUAUUUUCUUUUCCGUCGUUUCUGUUGGAUUUCGAUGUCGAGCUCGAAGAGCUUUUUCAGUUGAGGUCGUUCGUCGAGGUUCUUGAUUCUAGUUACCGGCUUGUCGUCAAUUUCAUCUUGCUCAACUAUGAAUCUGGUUCAUGGAUUGAAUUCAGAAUCACAUUCAUUCCAUUCGAGUUUGUGAAUUGAAAUCGAAAGCCACAUUAAGUGUAUUCAUUUGGCUGGGGAAUGUCUCGACGUACUAUGUUGGCAGAAGACAUUCGUGAGAAAGGACCGAGGCGUCGGGUAAAGCCGGAGAGCAUAGUUAGGAUUAGUAUAGGUUAAAUAGGAUUUAUUUUUGCAUUUUUAUUUAUUUUUGGGACUGUAUAAUUGGACUGAACACUAUACUUUUAUUCGUUUUGUUUGGU